GCGACGGGGUAUUGUAAGUGGCAGAGUGGCCUUGCUGCCACGAUCCACUGAGAUUCAGCCCUUUGUCCCUUCGAUGCAU
rnacentral:ncRNA from 1 species